rnacentral:lncRNA from 14 species
GGACAUUACAAAGCACACACUGAGAACCGAGCGGAUAUGAGUGUGCUUGGAAAAAUGAGCUUUGAAUAGGCAUUUGUGGGCUGGAGAGACGGCUGAGCGGGGAAAAGGAGACCCAGCACAAACCUGACAACCUGAGUUGGAUCCCUGGAAUCCAAGACAGAAGAAGAG